rnacentral:rRNA from 1 species
UACGGGGGGGGCAAGCGUUGUUCGGAAUUACUGGGCGUAAAGGGCGCGUAGGCGGCCUGCUAAGUCGGACGUGAAAUCCCUCGGCUCAACCGGGGAACUGCGUCCGAUACUGGCGAGGCUUGAAUCCGGGAGAGGGAUGUGGAAUUCCAGGUGUAGCGGUGAAAUGACGUAGAUAUCAGGAGGAACACCGGUGGCGAAGGCGGGUCUCUGGGCAACAACUGACGCUGAGUGAGCGAAAGCCAGGGGAGCAAACGGG